CACCCAAAAUUUUUUUUAUUUUUUACUCUGGAUCCUCUCUAAUUCUAGCCCACACUAACAGUAACUCCAUCUCCUUAUAAUACUCAUCAACUGAUCUUUUUCCUUGCUUCAACAUUUGCAACCUAUUGUGAAGGUCACGUUGAUAGCUUGAUGGUACAAAUUGCCUUCUUAUCACUUGCUUCAUCUCUUCCCAUGUGUUAAUAUAUUCAUAGCCCAACACAAGUUGAUUCUCCUGUAUCUGAUUCCACUAAAUCAGAGCAUAACAAGAGAACUCCAUUGAAGCAAGAUUGACACACCUCUAAUCAGAG
rnacentral:lncRNA from 1 species